GUAUUAGGUUUUUUAAAGGCAAUAAAUGCCCAACAUAACAUUCAUUGUCAUACAUUUGUGAUAAAAAGACAUAGACCAGAAGACAGGCAAAGGAAAGCUGGCAUCAGCAAUCCUUUCAACCGAGUUUGACCUCGGAAAGGUAGUCCCACAGUCUACAAAAGGUGCACAGGUGGUAAAAGAAGAUGGUGCCAGGCGUGCACAUGCCCCCCAAGGAGAGAGACCAGCAUCAGCCCGACCAAGUUCAUUCAAUAAUGAUCCUUCCGCAGGUUCACCUACGGAAA
rnacentral:misc_RNA from 1 species